rnacentral:rRNA from 1 species
GGAUUUGAUCCUGGUCCAGGAUGAACGCUGGCGGCGUGGAUAAGGCAUGCAAGUCGAGCGGUGCGCUUGCGAUUACAUCAAGAGUGCGCAGCGGCGAACGAGUUAGUAACGCCCUGGUACGUACCCCGAAGUCGGGCAUAGCUCAUCGAAAGGUGAGGUAAUUCCCGAUAGUUCCCUCACAUAACUUUGACUAGCACUCCGUGCAACUGCGACAAAGUCGCCGGUCAAAGUUAUGUGAGGGAUAAAGGCGCAAGCCGCUUUGGGAUCGGCCUAGGUCCGAUCAGCUAGUUGGUAGGGUAACGGCCUACCAAGGCUAUGACCGGUAGGGGAGGUGAGAGCCUGACCCCCAACGACGGAACUGAGACACGGUCCGUACUCCUACGGGAGGCAGCAGUCGAGAAUAUUCGACAAUGGGCGAAAGCCUGAUCGAGCGACGCCGCGUGCAGGAUGAAGGACUUCGGUCUGUAAACUGCGGUAGUAGGGUAAGAAUGCAAAUGACUGCCCUACGGAAAGAGGUGGGUAACUACGUGCCAGCACCAGCGGUAAUACGUAGACCUCAAGCGUUAUCCGGAUUUAUUGGGCGUAAAGCGCGUGUAGGAGGCGCGGUGCGUCUCUGGUUAAAGCCCACUGCCUAACGGUGGAAAUGCCAGGGAUACGGCCGCGCUCGAGGAGGUUAGAGGUGCAUGGAACCCACGGUGUAGGGGUGAAAUCCGUUGAUAUCGUGGGGAACACCGAAGGCGAAGGCAGUGCACUGGGGCCUUCCUGACUCUGAGACGCGAAAGCGUGGGGAGCAAAAAGGAUUAGAAUGGCUCGGCAGUUCCUCUUUUGAGAAUCGGCAUAAUUUCCUGCUGGAAAUUUACCUGCCUCUCGGUCGCCUACGCGACCUCCGAGAGCUUCUCAAAAGAGGAACUGACCUCGCUUGUUGAGGAAACAGGCGGAACGGAGGGUAUCCGUUGGGCAAAUUAGUCCCCCCGUGAUGACGAAAGUCAUUUUACGGGGAAAACUUGGCUAUAUCGGUGGAACUCUCGCGGAAGCGAGACAAUACCGAGGGAAGACUUGCAAGCUUUGUUGAGCACAUUGCAAAAAGUUUUAUGGGGAGUGUAGUUUACAGUAAAACGUCCGGCUGUUAACCGGAAGACAGUGUCGCAAGACAUUCACUCCCUGCCAUAAUUCUGGCAAACAAAUAUACUAGAAACGUAUUUGUUUGCCAGCUCAACAAAGUUUGCAAGAACCCGUAGAGACUACACGCCGAGCUCCGACGCAAGGUCGGAGAUGAUAUAGUCCGAACUCACGGGCGACCGUGAGAGGCAAGCAGAAAUGUCUUGCCCCGCAACUAUUGGAAUUUUCGAGUUUGGAAUUUCUGAUUUGUUUAGAAAUUAGAAAUUCGGAUUUAGAAAUUUCAAUUUUGUUGUGCGCAACAAAAUUGUAGAUACCCUUGUAGUCCACGCCCUAAACGAUGCCUGCUUGGUGUUUCGAGUAUCGACCCUCGGAGCGCCGGAGCUAACGCGUUAAGCAGGCCG